rnacentral:rRNA from 1 species
AUGUUUAAUCUGGCGAUGCUUGCGAAGCAGUCAUGGCGGCUAUUGCAGGAGUCAGAUUCGUUGAGUGCCAAGUUGCUAAAGGUUGUGUACUGCCCGGGCUGCGAGUUCCUAGAGGCCGAGCUGGGUUCCCAUCCUUCCCAGGUAUGGAGGGCCUUAUGCACAUGUACACAGGUUCUGAAGCAAGGCAUAGUUAGGAGGAUUGGCAAUGGUCAAGAUACAAGCAUCUGGAACCAAAACUAGAUACCACGUGAUCAUAUGUUGAGUGCCCUUCAUCCGAUAUCACAAAACCCACCAGCGUGA